rnacentral:misc_RNA from 1 species
UCUGGGUUUAUCCCAGCGGUCCCGUUAGAGAUAUUUAACUAACGGCGAGGGUUGCGCUCGUUGCGGGACUUAACCCAACAUCUCACGACACGAGCUGACGACAACCAUGCACCACCUGUGUACCGCCCCGAAGGACACCGUAUCUCUACGGCUUUUCGGUACAUGUCAAGCCCAGGUAAGGUUCUUCGCGUUGCCUCGAAUUAAGCCACAUGCUCCGCCGCUUGUGCGGGCCCCCGUCAAUUCCUUUGAGUUUUAGCCUUGCGGCCGUACUCCCCAGGCGGGGUACUUAAUGCGUUAGCUGCGGCACGGAACCCGUUGAAAGGUCCCACACCUAGUACCCAACGUUUACGGCGUGGACUAC